GAUGAACGCUGGCGGCGUGCCUAAUACAUGCAAGUCGAGCGAACAGACGAGGAGCUUGCUCCUCUGACGUUAGCGGCGGACGGGUGAGUAACACGUGGAUAACCUACCUAUAAGACUGGGAUAACUUCGGGAAACCGGAGCUAAUACCGGAUAACAUGUUGAACCGCAUGGUUCAACAGUGAAAGACGGUCUUGCUGUCACUUAUAGAUGGAUCCGCGCCGCAUUAGCUAGUUGGUAAGGUAACGGCUUACCAAGGCAACGAUGCGUAGCCGACCUGAGAGGGUGAUCGGCCACACUGGAACUGAGACACGGUCCAGACUCCUACGGGAGGCAGCAGUAGGGAAUCUUCCGCAAUGGGCGAAAGCCUGACGGAGCAACGUCGCGUGAGUGAUGAAGGUCUUCGGAUCGUAAAACUCUGUUAUUAGGGAAGAACAAAUGUGUAAGUAACUAUGCACGUCUUGACGGUACCUAAUCAGAAAGCCACGGCUAACUACGUG
rnacentral:rRNA from 1 species